rnacentral:rRNA from 1 species
CGCUGGCGGUAGGCUUAACACAUGCAAGUCGUGCGAGAAAGUACCUUCGGGUGCGAGUAGAGCGGCGGACGGGUGAGUAACGCGUAGGAAUCUACCUAGUAGAAGGGGAUAGCCCGGGGAAACUCGGAUUAAUACCGUAUACCUCCUUAGGGAGAAAGAGGGCUUAGCUUUGAUGCUCUCGCUAUUAGAUGAGCCUGCGUAAGAUUAGCUUGUUGGUGAGGUAAUGGCUCACCAAGGCGACGAUCUUUAGCUGGUCUGAGAGGACGAUCAGCCACAUUGGGACUGAGACACGGCCCAGACUCCUACGGGAGGCAGCAGUGGGGAAUAUUGGACAAUGGGCGCAAGCCUGAUCCAGCCAUACCGCGUGUGUGAAGAAGGCUUUCGGGUUGUAAAGCACUUUAAGUAAGGAGGAAAAGAUUGUAGUUAAUACCUGCAAUCCGUGACGUUACUUACAGAAUAAGGACCGGCUAAUUCCGUGCCAGCAGCCGCGGUAAUACGGAAGGUCCAAGCGUUAAUCGGAAUUACUGGGCGUAAAGCGCGCGUAGGUGGUUUUUUAAGUUGGAUGUGAAAGCCCUGGGCUCAACCUAGGAACUGCAUCCAAAACUAGAUGACUAGAGUACGAAAGAGGGAAGUAGAAUUCACAGUGUAGCGGUGGAAUGCGUAGAUAUUGUGAAGAAUACCAAUGGCGAAGGCAGCUUCCUGGUUCUGUACUGACACUGAGGUGCGAAAGCGUGGGUAGCGAACAGGAUUAGAUACCCUGGUAGUCCACGCCGUAAACGAUGACAACUAGCUGUUGGGAGACAAGAUCUCUCAGUGGCGCAGCUAACGCUUUAAGUUGUCCGCC